rnacentral:misc_RNA from 1 species
CAGAAACCUACAAGGGUUGUCCUCCUUGGCUACGGCAUCGAAUGCAGAACCUGUUUUCUGCAGUCGAGUGGCUGAUUCAGAUCUGGAAGCUACCCUCUCGCAAAAUAUGUCUGGUACAUCUUCGUAUGUUCCUGUGGUUACAAAGGAGGAGGAAAACUCACCCGCUGAGUACCCAAAGAGUGAUUACAGUGCUCCUGUCUCUACAAAGGGCGAGAAAAGUGGAGCAUCUACAGAGCACGAUGG